UACGGGGGGGGCAAGCGUUGUUCGGAAUUACUGGGCGUAAAGGGCUCGUAGGCGGCCAACUAAGUCCGACGUGAAAUCCCCAGGCUUAACCUGGGAACUGCGUCGGAUACUGGAAGGCUUGAAUCCGGGAGAGGGAUGCGGAAUUCCAGGUGUAGCGGUGAAAUGCGUAGAUAUCUGGAGGAACACCGGUGGCGAAGGCGGCAUCCUGGACCGGCAUUGACGCUGAGGCGCGAAAGCCAGGGGAGCAAACGGG
rnacentral:rRNA from 1 species